GAGUACUGCGGUGACUAAUACUAGCGGUACAAGCAGUGCAUGAGCCACAAGGAGGGCAUAUUAUCCGCACCGCCGCACGUGACCCAUGACGACUGGCGGAUACUCUGCGAGAGAUUUUCGUCUGAGUCUUUUCAGAAGAGGAGCAUUUUAAAUUCUGACAAUAGGGGAAAGUUAGAAGUGAACUAUGUAACUGGUUGAAAGUCAUUUGUACAACUUCGUCACGACAUGCGAGAUUCCGUCACUAGCCAGGAGCCCGGACCAGUAGACUUCUACAGAGGGACUCACUAUCGACAGGCGACAGGAUCUUGGGUACAUCCUAGUGCCAGCGAGAAUUGGGCGGCGAUGGACACCUUAGGCAGUCAGCCCACUCCCGAUGGUACUCAACAGAGUGAGUCAGAGAUCCUGAACGAGGUGCUUGGCACCCAUUCUGGAUGUGUGUAGGCUUGGCCAUGGUGCCAAGCUCAUGGCACCC